rnacentral:rRNA from 1 species
GACGAACGCUGGCGGCGUGCCUAACACAUGCAAGUCGAGCGAAUGAAGUUCCUUCGGGAACGGAUUUAGCGGCGGACGGGUGAGUAACACGUGGGCAACCUGCCUCAUAGAGGGGAAUAGCCUUCCGAAAGGGAGAUUAAUACCGCAUAAGAUUGUAGUGCCGCAUGGUACAGCAAUUAAAGGAGCAAUCCGCUAUGAGAUGGGCCCGCGGCGCAUUAGCUAGUUGGUGAGGUAACGGCGCACCAAGGGGACGAUGCGUAGCCGACCUGGGCGGGUGAUCGGCCACAUUGGGACUGAGACACGGCGCAGGCUCCUACGGGAGGCAGCAGUGGGGAAUAUUGCACAAUGGGGGAAACCCUGAUGCAGCAACGCCGCGUGAGUGAUGACGGCCUUCGGGUUGUAAAGCUCUGUCUUCAGGGACGAUAAUGACGGUACCUGAGGAGGAAGCCACGGCUAACUACGUGCCAGCCGCCGCCGUAAAAC